rnacentral:misc_RNA from 1 species
GAUGAAGAACGUAGCAAAAUGCGAUAAGUAAUGUGAAUUGCAGAAUUCAGUGAAUCAUCGAAUCUUUGAACGCACAUUGCGCCCGCCAGUAUUCUGGCGGGCAUGCCUGUUCGAGCGUCAUUUCAACCCUCAAGCACAGCUUGGUGUUGGGACUCGUGUUAAUUCGCGUUCCCCAAAUUGAUUGGCGGUCACGUCGAGCUUCCAUAGCGUAGUAGUAAAACCCUCGUUACUGGUAAUCGUCGCGGCCACGCCGUUAAACCCCAACUUCUGAAUGUUGACCUCGGAUCAGGUAGGAAUACCCGCUGAACUUAAGCAUAUCAAUAAGCGGAGGA